GGAAAGUGUGUCAAAUAAAGCUCUUGUAAAUUUUCAAUUGAUUUUCAAGAAGGUCCUUCCACACUGAGUGGAAAAAUGUAAUUGUUCAAUAAAAGAUCAUUAUUUUUUUAAACUGAUGUUAACUUUUCAAAUAUGUUAGACAUUCAAAAUUACAUGCAGUAGGACUGAACAAUUUAAUGAAAAGUAAAACAAGUAUUCUGCAAACCUUAAACAUCAAGUGAUGAGACAUAAUGCGCUUCCCAAGUCUGCUUUUCUUUUUUUUUUUUUUUGUCCUGGAGAAGUGGUAACAGUUCAGAGUUUCUGUUCUCCUCAUGCGGUAACUGUGUGCUGCACGUGUACAUGAACAGCGGAUUGCUCAGCCCCCGUCCUUGAACCUCAGACGGUUGUGCCCGGCUGUGUAUCCUUCCGUGCCCCGCCUGCUCACCUGCGAGCUGUGUUAGAAUCAUAGAAGUGGACGUGUAGCUGCCGUGACCGUGGGACAUUUACUCUCUCUUCUGUGUGACACUGCACUGCACAAUCGCUCCCCACCGAAGGGUAGAACUCGGAUCGAGCCCAUCUGUGACGUCACUUCCGAAGUGGCUGUGGUAACGCCUGGCCUGUCCAGCAGGAGAGCUCCGCUCGGUGUUCUCCUGGGGUUAUGUUGCACCCCAUCUUUGUGGAAGUUGCAAACACAGUGCUGUGGUAAUAAAUACACUUCAUUUCUACAAAACUACAUGAGGAAUGAAAGUCGGACAAAGCCCUGCCCUAUGUAUUGGAAACUGCAGGUGCAGAUUUCAGCAAUAACAAAGCUGAGAGCAGCGUCACCCUCAGCUCCACCCACCUGCCUCCUUCUAACCCUGACACGGCUCUUGGAAAAGGCUGCUGGAAUGCAUGGGAAUGGCUUUAUUGCCUUGAUGUGGACAUUCAUAAAAUAAAAGUUACUGUGCUAUAAUGGGAAA
rnacentral:lncRNA from 1 species